rnacentral:misc_RNA from 1 species
UUGCUCUUUAUGUGAAGAGACUAGGAUAAUUACCCCAAAAAAAAAAAAAAAUUCAUUGAUCCUUUUUAAAGUUGUAAUUUAUCUGCAGGUGCUCUUGCAUAUUAUCUUUUUCAUUUCCAAACAUGGAUGUUGUUAAUAACUCUCAUUGUGUAUUGAUUUCCACUUGUGUCGAUCGAGUUAAAGACCGAGCAUUUAAUUGUUUAUCGCAUUUUGUUGAUUCUGUUUUGACACGAAAGUGAUAUUG